AUUGAACGCUGGCGGCAGGCCUAACACAUGCAAGUCGAACGAGUGGCGGACGGGUGAGUAAUGCCUGGGAAACUGCCUUAUGGAGGGGGAUAACUACGGGAAACUGUAGCUAAUACCGCAUACCCUCAGAUGUGCCCAGUGGGGAUUAGCUGGUUGGUGGGGUAACGGCUCACCAAGGCGACGAUCCCUAGCUGGUCUGAGAGGAUGACCAGCCACACUGGAACUGAGACACGGUCCAGACUCCUACGGGAGGCAGCAGUGGGGAAGAUUGCACAAUGGGCGCAACCCUGACGCAGCCAUGCCGCGUGAAUGAAGAAGGCCUUCGGGUUGUAAAGUACUUUCGGUAGGGAGGCGUUACCCACAGAAGAAGCACCGGCUAACUCCGUGCCAGCAGCCGCGGUAAUAC
rnacentral:rRNA from 1 species